rnacentral:rRNA from 1 species
GGGACACGUGAAACCCUGUGGGAAGCAGGAGGGACCACCCUCCAAGGCUAAAUACUACCUAGUGACCGAUAGCGUAUAGUACCGUGAGGGAAAGGUGAAAAGAACCCCGGGAGGGGAGUGAAAUAGAACCUGAAACCCUGCACUUACAAGCUGUGGAAGCACAUUUCUUGUGUGACCGCGUACUUUUUGUAGAACGGGCCAACGAGUUACGUUAAGUAGCAAGGUUAAGCACUUAAGGUGCGGAGCCGUAGCGAAAGCGAGUUUUAACUGAGCGUUCAGUUACUUGACGUAGACCCGAAACCGGGCGACCUACCCAUGAGCAGGAUGAAGCGAAAGUAAAAUUUCGUGGAGGUCCGAACCCACGAGCGUUGAAAAGCUCGGGGAUGACUUGUGGGUAGCGGUGAAAUUCCAAUCGAGCCCGGAGAUAGCUGGUUCUCCCCGAAAUAGCUUUAGGGCUAGCCUCAAGGUGAGAGAUACGGAGGUAGAGCACUG